CAGCAACACCUCCAGUCCACAUACGUGGGAGUACUCGUUCUAUCCACGGUUGGCACCGUUGGACAAGCCCAGUGCAGGAUCUACAGUCCCGUGGCAUGCUGCAAAGUCCGUGAAUCCGAAGGGUAAAGAGCAAGGAUAACCGCAAGGGCAGCAGGAUGGAGCUCAGUAGGCCUGGGAGACGAUUUGCUUUGCUUUUAAAAACAAAAAACCACCACAAAGUCGGACGUGGUUUCAGCUGCACUUGCUCAAGAUUUGUACUACCGACGACCGACCCUAAAGGAGUGAGCUGAGCCGGCGUGAGUAAGCAGCAGAGGGAACGAUGCAAGCGUGCGAGGCUUGGAAGCGGAGCAGAGACACGGAGGUGAGGAACAGAGCGAAGGAAACGAAAGGUGCAGAGUCCAGCAGUGACUUUCCUUCUCAGCCUGGCACUGUGGGCACCGACUCUCUUCUAGAAGAGCUGCAGUUGCGCUGCUAUAACACCAGGAGCAGCCUGGAGAAUUUUGAGCUGCGUCACAGAGCUCGGAGAGAGAGAGAGCAAGCUCCGUCGAUAGGUCUACUAGCAACAGCCCUGCUGCAGCAAGAGAAGAGAGAGAGAGACAGCAAAAGAGAGAGAGGGAUCCAGAAACAGAAGUCAUAACACCAUCAGGGACCGGGGCUCCUGGCACCGUCCGGCGACGUUUUUCAAGAAUAUAUUCGGUCUGAGUCGAUACCGGAGGGGUUCGCCCAUUGACGAUGCUGGAGACACGACGCGCUUAAUCCCGCGGGGAGGGAGGGUGGGCAGACGCGAGAAGGGUUAACGGGAGGAAAAUUCUGGAACGUUCUCUUCUGCGGUGCUGCACAGCGAGCGAGCAGAGGGCUGAGGACUGCGCAGAUGUUGAAGGGGCAGAGCUCCUCGGCUCGGGGUCCAUCUUCCCCACGUACGUACCUUUUGAUCGGGAUGGGGCUCGCGCCGUGCCGGAUUGCUCUUUAUUGACUUAUUUAUUUGCAGGUCCCCCUUCUUCCCCCCCCCACCCCACCCCACCCCACCCCACCCCCCCUUGGAGGCUGCCUAAGUUUAAAACCCGGCGUGGGUUGCAUGAAUAUUUUGGCUGGAUGUCACUGCUGGGUUCUGCGUCAGAGCUGUUUUCUCAAUGGGACUUCUGCACAGGUUGUACUAAUGUCGCUCUUGCCGGCAUGGCUGCGAUGCAGAGGGUGGUCGUGGUCGUGGUCGUGGUCGUGAUCGUGGUCGCGGUCGUGGGGGGGGGAGAUGACAACUUCGCAGAGGCUGCUGUGCAAUGCAUGGGUAUUUAUUGGGG